rnacentral:tRNA from 1 species
ACUCUAUAGUAUAAGUAAAUAACAUUAAAUUGCAAGUUUAAAAAUAUGUAAAUUAUUAGGGUU